rnacentral:rRNA from 1 species
AUUCGCUAGUAAUCGCGCAUCAGCCAUGGCGCGGUGAAUACGUUCCCGGGCCUUGUACACACCGCCCGUCAAGCCAUGGAAGCUGGGGGUGCCUGAAGUUCGUGACCGGAAGGAGCGACCUAGGGCAAAACCGGUGACUGGGGCUAAGUCGUAACAAGGUACC